rnacentral:rRNA from 2 species
AAAUUGAAGAGUUUGAUCAUGGCUCAGAUUGAACGCUGGCGGCAGGCCUAACACAUGCAAGUCGAACGGUAACAGGAAGCAGCUUGCUGCUUCGCUGACGAGUGGCGGACGGGUGAGUAAUGUCUGGGAAACUGCCUGAUGGAGGGGGAUAACUACUGGAAACGGUGGCUAAUACCGCAUAACGUCGCAAGACCAAAGAGGGGGACCUUCGGGCCUCUUGCCAUCAGAUGUGCCCAGAUGGGAUUAGCUUGUUGGUGAGGUAACGGCUCACCAAG